UCAGUAUAGUUUGCUAGCUAAAUCGAACCACAGUUUGUCUGUUUUAUAUUAUAUUGUAUUAUAUUAGACUGUAGACUCAUAGUCUAGACACACAACACAACAGGAGGGGGCACCAAGGACCAUGAAAUAACACGAGUGUAUAGAUGUGACUACACAUCAAAUAUUAGAGUCACAAAAAGGAAGCACAGAAGUUUUCACCAGCAGUUUUACACACCUGAUAAUGACCAAUGUUGGUCAAAACAUGUGGUGCAAUGUACAGAAAACUUUUAAAUAAGAUUUAAAAGAUGCAUUGUGUGUAGAUGAUCCAAAUGCCUGCAAAUGAAUAAGAUAUAAUUAAAUAUACCGUUCAUUUAACAAUAUUAAACAUCAAAAACUGAUCCUAAGAAUAAUGCUGUUUCUGGGACGUCAUGCCAUGUGAUCUGGUAGAUCCUUGCAUUUCGGAGGAACUUGCUGUCUCCAUCUUCACAGAAGAAGAGCAGUAGAUCCUUAUUGACAUCUUGGAGGAGCAAGCUGCCUCUAUCUUCAGGGCAGAAGACAGUAGAUUGUUUCAAACAUCUUGGAGAUGAUGAACAUAUAUAUCUCAAACAUAUCUCACUACAUAUUUAGUCAAGUGGAAAAUGUUUUGAAUAAAAGUUGCACAGAACAAUGAAUGACACUUCAUUUUCCAUACAUCAUGUGGUUUUCAAGACAUCUGAACAAAAACUGGAUGCUACACAUACAACUGUAAGUUCAUAUUUUCAAUAAUUAUCAUGGUCUCCCAGUCACAUCUGAGUCCUGGAUUAUCUGUGUUUUUCAAUUAUUAAUGCAUCUCUUUCCCCAUCAUUUGCAUGGAUAAUCAUGAGUAUACUAUAGUUCCAAAUCAAUUUAUAUUGUAAUGAUUUCCAUUUGUAUUAUAUUAGUUUAAAAUAUGUCUGUAAGGCUAACAACCUCUACAGUCCUCCACUUUAUAGUGAUUUUUUCAGGCAUUCCGUACUUAGAUCUAGGCAACAUUUCAAAAGGUGUGAUGCUGAUCUAAUUCAUGCUUUGAGAAACACAUCACUUGUUGCAUUAUUGAAAGUUAAAUAGUUAUAUAUAAUUUUCAGAGUUCUCAUAAAAGCACCUUAGAGACUGCACUUAGCAUGUGAACUGUAGUCAGGGGAAUGUAUGUAAGGGGUGGGCCAUAAAAACCAGUCCCUGAACUGCGACCUUCAAUGAUCUAUUGUGCUUAGUCAGGGGCAUAGUCCUAAAAUUAAGAGUAUUAAGUUGAUCUUGCAUGCAAUUCCAUGUUGAAAGUAAUGAAAUGAAUUAUCAUGAUAUAAGACCAUUAUUACUUAAUAAUAGCUUUACACUUUUAAAUGCAGACCUGUAUAAUACUAUAUUAUGGUGACCAUUUACACUGGAUAAUCAUUUAAUUCACAUUGAUAAUCUUUGAGGUGCAACUUCUUAUCAUAUUCAUAUUCAUAUUUUUAUUGGUUCCAGAAAUCCACACGUUGCAAUACAGCCUCCAGAUACAGAACAAGUCAAAUUAUUUGUAUAAAAGUCAACAAUACUAUAAUAUUUAACUACAUACACAAAUUGUGUACAUGUCCAACUUACCAUAUAAAACUAUAUUAAAAAUUUAAGACAACUUAAAUACCCCAACAUAGUAACCAAUUCAAUCCAUUUCACAUCAAUCAAUCAACCCAUCCAUUCUUCCUUCUUCAUCAAAUCACUGUCAUAGGAAAAUGUUCCCUACACGUUAAACAUACAGUAGUUCAAUUUCUGUAAUUAAAAAAUAAGUACCCCCCUUUCACAAACAUACCAUCUUUAAUUUAACAUAUAUUCCUCUACAGAAUAAAACGUAUGUUGUACCAAAUAUGACCUCAUUACUUUUUUAAACUGUCUAAUUUUUCCUAUCUCCUUUAUUUUAUUGUACAAUUUUAUUCCCAUGUUCAGUACUCCUCUCUUAUAGGCAUUUGUUCUGCAAAACUGAGCAUGGAGAUUUAACUUCUGGCAUGUAUUGUGAUUAUGAACUAUGUUAUUUUGUUCUAACUUUUCUAAAUGUAGUUUCACAUGGCAUACUAUUCCAAAUAUAUACAUACAUACAAGGUAGUGGAAGUAAGUUUAAAUUCUUAAAAAGUUGUCUACAUGAUGCUAAUCUACUCACACUACUAAUUAUUCUAACAAUUCGUUUCUGCAAUUUAAAUAUAAUUUCACUUUUUGGGUCGCUACCCCAGAAAAUUAAACCAUACUUCAAAUAAGCAUGGAAGUGAGCAAAGUAAAUACUCCUUAUAACAUGUCAGCUUGUUACAUCCCUAAGGGAUUUUAUCAUGUAACAGACUUUAUGAAGUUUUGAGCUUGAAGUUCAAAGACAGGUGGAGUGCUGUGUUGUCAUGUAUGAGUAUUGUAGCUGUUUCUUCUGCAAUAUGUUUCGACUUUGGAAGGUCACCAUCACAUAGCUUAUAUAUGUAGUUGCUGCACUAUAUUGUUUUUUAGUUCUUUGUCCCAAAAUUUUGUUAAAACUUGGUUAAAAUUAAGCCUAUGUUAUUAUUAAAUUCGGUUAAAACUAAUAAAACCUUUUUUUUAAUAUUUAAUUGAUGUUUUAUAUUUCUAGGUUUCUGUUAUUUCUUUGAUUGUAUUGUGUUCUGUGUCUGUGCAUACAGAGUUUGUUUUUCCAUCGAGCAGUUUUGUUAUAUGUUAAGGUGCUGAGGUUCAGAAUGACAUAGUUUAGUGUGGUUUUUGUGAAUUGUGGAUGGCUACUGCUAGUGUUGGGAUGAUUUCAUGAAACAUCCAUACUUCAAGAGGCUUCUGCGUCAGAGAGGUCACAAAUAAAACAAGUACUGUAAUAUUACUGUUAACUAUAAUUAUUGCAUAAUCUUGCUUGGUUUCAAAUAAUACCAAUAAACCUAUAUAAAAGAUGA